CCUGGUCUGGGGGGUCAGGAGCCCUCAGCUCAGCAGCUUUGGGCACCUAUUUCCUAGAGAUAAGGUCCUAUCUGGGAUAAAAGCUGCAGGAUCUGGGGUGUCUCACACUCACUAGCAAUGUACCAGCUAUGAUGUCUGGGAACCUAAACUCAUCUUUUCACUAGGAUGCCCGAGAGGGUCCACCACAGAGCUAGAGUAAGUAUAAGGGGGUGUUGUCCAUAUCUGGAAGGUCUGUUUAAGACCAGGGUCUGGAGAAGAAGGAGGGUGGUUCUUACCCGUGAUGUAAAGAGUACUGCUCUGGUUGGAAGCCAUGCAGGCCACACGAAGGUGAGGCAGGCAACGGGACACCUUCCUCAGGGCCAGCUGAACUGUGUAGGAGCGUGGCUGGUCCAGCUGGGUUUCAUUCACUACCAGAGAGUAGAUCUUUCCUUCCUCUGGGAGAUGGGGAGAGGCAGACAGUUAUGUGGGGGAAGGGGACUGCCCGAUAUCCAUAUUAACUUCCCAGUAGACUCUCUAAGCCGUAUGGACAAAACAUUUACUGCCCUAGAGUGGGGUCGGAAGAAAAAGGAUAGAAAUGGAAUAAGGAAGGAGUGACCUUGAGUUGUCCAGACUUGAGCCCUUUACCACCAAAAAUAAGUCAGGGAAGUCCUUGAGCAUGAAAGAUGAGUGGAAAAAAGACCUAGCAAUCAGAUUUGGCAGAAUCUAAUUGGACUGUUAGGAAGAAUGAUCCUGAGAACUCGGGGCCCUGCCUGGCAUUAAGAAGUCCAGAAGGUCUCAAGCUUAGGAGUGUGGUCAAAUAAAGGGGACAGGGGCUCAAGGCUGGCUCAGUCAGAAGAGUUAGUGACUCUUGAUCUCGGGGUUGUGAGUUUGAGCCCCACAUUCGGUGUAGAGAUUGCUUAAAUAAAUAAAUAAAAAAAUAAAUAAAACUUAAAUAUAUAAAUAUGACAAGGAGCAAGUGGGGGGAAGUUGGGGGAAUCAAGUGUAGUGUCUAACAGGGAGGUUACAAAGGUUAGAAUUUUGAAAAUUGGCCUUUCGCUAGAACAGUGGUUUCCAAACUGUUUUUUUGCAGCGUGUCCUUUGUUCAUAUGAAACACACAGAAUCUUCGACUAGGAGGCAGACAAAAAGCAAAGCUCUUGGGUUUGAGAGCGGGAUGAGGGGGCAUGCAGAAACCCACGUGAGAGCCCUCCCCCUCCCCCGCAGCACGUCCUGAAGAAUCUAUAGAAAGCAGUUUGCAACCACUGCUCUGGGCCACACCUGUGAGAAGCAGCAGAGCCCGCUGGGUCUCCUGACCAACCAGCACAAUCUGUUUGAAGCUCAUGGAGUGGUGGAAGGUCAUCUUGAAGACCCGCUGCCCACUGGACUGCAGAUAGACCUCGACACAGUCACAGGCCCGGCUGCCAGUUGUGCCCACCACGCCUGGCUGCUCCCGAGUGGCCAAUACGUAGAGCCCAGGGCACAUGCUUCUAAGGGAGCGCUUCUUCAAUCCAACCUUGCAUCAGGGACAUCAAGGGGAAUAUAAUAUAUAGAAAAGCAGCAGAAAGAAGAGUGAAAAAGAAUGACCGAGAAAGGGCCGGACCCCAGAACCCUGCUCUCGUAGGCGAGGACUGAGCCUGUGACAGAUGCGUCUCCACACGCCCUCGGCAUCGCACACUUCAUGGAAGUAGUGGCAGGUCUGGCCCAGAGCCAUGACAUCUCUGACUGGGAG